ACAUCUUUGCCAAGACCCGUCCUCUUUGCCAGCGGAGGUGACACCUUCCCAGAACACCACUAGGAGGGAAGAGGAGGAUCAGAAUCAGACUUUGCUGUGCCCUGGGGACGCCCUACUUGAAGCAGAUGCCAGCUUCCUCUCCUGCCAUGUGCCUUGGGCCAGGAAGAAGAAGACCUGAAGCAAGAGGAAGCAAGUGAUAGAUAGUCAAGGGACUGA